rnacentral:rRNA from 1 species
AGCGAACGCUGGCGGCAGGCCUAACACAUGCAAGUCGAACGAACCCUUCGGGGUUAGUGGCGGACGGGUGAGUAACACGUGGGAACGUGCCUUUAGGUUCGGAAUAACUCAGGGAAACUUGUGCUAAUACCGAAUGUGCCCUUCGGGGGAAAGAUUUAUCGCCUUUAGAGCGGCCCGCGUCUGAUUAGCUAGUUGGUGAGGUAAUGGCUCACCAAGGCUACGAUCAGUAGCUGGUCUGAGAGGCUGACCAGCCACAUUGGGACUGUGACACGGCCCAAACUCCUACGGGAGGCAGCAGUGGGGAAUAUUGCGCAAUGGGCGAAAGCCUGACGCAGCCAUGCCGCGUGGAUGAUGAAGGUCUUAGGAUUGUAAAAUCCUUUCACCGGUGAAGAUAAUGACUGUAGCCGGAGAAGAAGCCCCGGCUAACUUCGUGCCAGCCGCCGCAGUAAGAC